GACGUAGGAGGCGAGCGUUGUCCGGAUUCAUUGGGCGUAAAGAGCACGCAGGCGGUUUUGCAAGUCGGACGUGAAAAUCCGGGGCUCAACCCCGGACCUGCAUCCGAAACUGCCCGACUAGAGGUAGGUAGGGGAGAUCGGAAUUCCUGGUGUAGCGGUGAAAUGCGCAGAUAUCAGGAGGAACACCGGUGGCGAAGGCGGAUCUCUGGGCCUUACCUGACGCUCAGGUGCGAAAGCUAGGGGAGCGAACAGG
rnacentral:rRNA from 1 species